rnacentral:rRNA from 1 species
CUUGCGGCGUGCUAUACAUGCAGUCGAGCGGACAGAUGGGAGCUUGCUCCCUGAUGUUAGCGGCGGACGGGUGAGUAACACGUGGGUAACCUGCCUGUAAGACUGGGAUAACUCCGGGAAACCGGGGCUAAUACCGGAUGCUUGUUUGAACCGCAUGGUUCAAACAUAAAAGGUGGCUUCUGCUACCACUUACCGAUGGACCCCCGGCGCAAUAACUAAUUGGUGAAGGAAUGGCUCACCAAGGCCACCAUGCGUAACCCACCUGAAAAGGUGAUCCGCCACACUGGGACUGAAACACCGCCCAAACUCCUACCGGAAGCAACAAUAAGGAAUCUUCCGCAAUGGACCAAAGUCUGACCGAACAACCCCCCGUGAAUGAUUAAAGGUUUCCGAUCCUAAAACUCUGUUGUUAAGGAAAAACCAAUACCGUUCCAAUAAGGCGGUACCUUGACCGUACCUAACCAAAAAGCCACCGCUAACUACCUGCCAACAACCCCCGUAAUACCUAAGUGGCAAGCGUUGUCCCGAAUUAUUGGGCGUAAAGGGCUCCCAAGCGGUUUCUUAAAUCUGAUGUGAAAACCCCCCGCUCAACCCGGGAAGGUCAUUGGAAACUGGGGAACUUUAAUGCAAAAAAGAAAAUGGAAUUCCACCUGUAACCGUGAAAUGCCUAAAAAUGUGGAAGAACACAAUGGCCAAAGCCACUCUCUGGUCUGUAACUGACGCUUAAGAACCAAAACCUGGGGAACCAACAAGAUUAGAUACCCUGGUAAUCCACCCCCUAAACCAUGAAUGCUAAAUGUUAAGGGGUUUCCCCCCUUAAUGCUGCAGCUAACGCAUUAACACUCCCCCUGGGGAGUACGGUCCCAGACUGAAACUCAAAGGAAUUGACGGGGGCCCCCACAAGCGGUGGAACAUGUGGUUUAAUUCGAAGCAACCCGAAAACCUUACCAGGUCUUGACAUCUCUGACAACCUAAAAAUAGGACUUCCCUUCGGGGCAAAUGACAGGGGUGCAUGGUGUCUCACCUCUGUCCUGAAAUUUGGGUUAAUUCCCCAACGAAGCCACCCUUGAUCUUAUUUGCAGCAUUCAUUGGGCAUCUAAGGGACUGCCGGGGACAACCCGAGGAAGGGGGGGAUAACUCAAAUAUAAUGCCCUUUUAACUGGGCUACCCCCCGCUUCAAUGGAAAAAAAAAGGGACCAAACCCCCAGGUAAGCAAUCCCCAAAUUUUUUCU